ACGUACACUCCUACGGGAGGCAGCAGUGGGGAAUUUUGGACAAUGGGCGAAAGCCUGAUCCAGCCAUGCCGCGUGCAGGAUGAAGGCCUUCGGGUUGUAAACUGCUUUUGUACGGAACGAAACGGCCUUUUCUAAUAAAGAGGGCUAAUGACGGUACCGUAAGAAUAAGCACCGGCUAACUACGUGCCAGCAGCCGCGGUAAUACGUAGGGUGCAAGCGUUAAUCGGAAUUACUGGGCGUAAAGCGUGCGCAGGCGGUUAUGUAAGACAGUUGUGAAAUCCCCGGGCUCAACCUGGGAACUGCAGCUGUGACUGCAUAGCUAGAGUACGGUAGAGGGGGAUGGAAUUCCGCGUGUAGCAGUGAAAUGCGUAGAUAUGCGGAGGAACACCGAUGGCGAAGGCAAUCCCCUGGACCUGUACUGACGCUCAUGCACGAAAGCGUGGGGAGCAAACAGGAUUAGAAACCCUUGUAGUCCCAUGAU
rnacentral:rRNA from 1 species